UACGUAGGUGGCAAGCGUUGUCCGGAUUUACUGGGCGUAAAGAGCGCGCAGGCGGUCGUUCAAGUCGCGUGUGAAAGCCCCCGGCUCAACUGGGGAGGGUCACGCGAUACUGAUCGACUCGAAGGCAGGAGAGGGUAGUGGAAUUCCCGGUGUAGUGGUGAAAUGCGUAGAUAUCGGGAGGAACACCCGUGGCGAAGGCGGGAUCCUGGGCCAGUACUGACGCUGAGGAGCGAAAGCGUGGGGAGCAAACAGG
rnacentral:rRNA from 1 species